GACGCGAGCUGCUUCUCUGUAGAUGUGUGCCUUACACCUGCGCGCUGAAAAUAUUUCACUGUGAACCUCUUCUCUCCCAUUGCACUGGUCAUUGCUGGCCCGACAGGUGACCUAAUCAAGUCGGUCAACAAAGAUCUGCUGCAGCCGUCUGCGGAAUGUUUGGUGCACAGGAACAACCGUAAACCACUAUCAUCAUUAUCAUUUGCAACAUCAUCAUCAACAAUAACUGCAACGACAGCACCGCCAACAGCAGCAGUUCCCGAUGAAGGUUAAAUAGUAGCAACUGCAAAACUCUCAAGAGCAACAAACAUCGCCCAUCGUCUCGCACUGCCUAGCAACGACACUUUCGACGAACACUGACCAUCGUUUCCAGCCGAACCCAACCCAACCCCCACUGUUUAUUGCACCCCGCGGCAGCAAAAG